rnacentral:rRNA from 1 species
UACGGAGGGGACUAGCGUUGUUCGGAAUUACUGGGCGUAAAGCGCACGUAGGCGGAUUUGUAAGUCAGGGGUGAAAUCCCGAGGCUCAACCUCGGAACUGCCUUUGAUACUGCAAAUCUCGAGUCCGGAAGAGGUGAGUGGAAUUCCUAGUGUAGAGGUGAAAUUCGCAGAUAUCAGGAAGAACACCCGUGGCGAAGGCGGCUCUCUGGGACGGUACUGACGCUGAGACGCGAAAGCGUGGGGAGCGAACAGG